rnacentral:ncRNA from 1 species
GCGAUAGAGGUGCAAAAUGCAUCAGUAGCGCGUUUUAGGCAGCCGACUGCCGCAAGAGCGCGUGAAAGGGUAUUUUGCCGAAAACCAUGCAUGUCGGUUGUGCGGCGGUUUGGGGGCGCAUUGCGAAAGCUGCGUCACUGUCAUCAGAAGUUGGUGGAGUGCUAUCG